AGUGUGGCUUUCUUUGCUUCGACACUCAUCCAUCCAAUAUCCUGACCUAAAAAUAUUAUUUUCCAUGUGAUCUUGCAAUUUCGAGUUUUACCACAGAACUAAGUAGCCUUUACUAUAGCUAUGAAAAGGCACACUUCCUAGAGGAACAUUUAGAUCAGAUGUUUUGAUGUAAAAUACUUGUCUUUCGUAAGUAAAAUUAUAGUGCAUUUUAUUUUUCUUAGGAUAGUUAAUUCUGCCAUUAAAUAGAUUGUACUUACUUUGGUUCAAACGGCUGAAAAAAAAAGAAGAGAAUUUAAAAUUUGCUAUUUCUCCUAUAAAGUCACGGAUAAUCCGCUGACCCCGAGGAAGGGCAGAAGUGCUCUGUUUGGCUCUCCUGCUGCAGAGAGCUUUGCAGGGAUUAUUUCUCAUUGCUGAGUGACAGCUUGUUUCUGUCUUUCUCUGUUAGGAUAUUUUGCUCGUGUCCAUGGCAUCAGGCAGCUUAUAAAGGCAUUUCUACAGAAGAUAGAAUGUCAGUGCCAAAUUAUAAACCUGGGGGCUGGGAUGGAUACCGCCUUCUGGACAUUAAAGGAUGAGGGUCUUCUCCCAAGGAAAUAUUUUGAAGUUGACUUUCCGGUGAUAGUCACGAGAAAGCUACACAGCAUCAAGUAAGUGUGGCUUUGGCCAGAAGAAAGAGCCUGGUAGAAUUCAGAACCGGCCUUCAGUAGACAGCAGGUCUGAGUGCCAGAGACCUCAUUUUAGGGCCCUGCUCUCCUCACUUGCUUUCUUGCCCCGAGACCCUCAUUCCAGUGUGUCUUGCAGUCUUCAAAAUGAAAAAUACCCUCCCUUGUGACUCUUCUCUCCAUUAAUGUAACUUCUCUGAACACUUAAAAAAUGACCUAUCAUAGUUUAGUAAUCUGAAUUAAAAUUCACAUAAUGUGUAUUUUGUUUACUUCUUUAUCCCAGGGAACAGAAAGGUACCUGGUCCAGAAAAGAUAUGUAGUAAAUAUUUUUUGAAUGAAUGAAUGAAUGGGAAACUGAACUUAAUCAUUUAUUAUAUAUGAGAUAUGUGGGGGCCAUUCUGAGUCGAGGUUUCA
rnacentral:lncRNA from 1 species